rnacentral:rRNA from 1 species
CAGCAGCCGCGGGAAUACAGAGGGUGCGAGCGUUAAUCGGAUUUACUGGGCGUAAAGCGUGCGUAGGCGGCUUCUUAAGUCGGAUGUGGAAUCCCUGAGCUUAACUUAGGAAUUGCAUUCGAUACUGGGAAGCUAGAGUAUGGGAGAGGAUGGUAGAAUUCCAGGUGUAGCGGUGAAAUGCGUAGAGAUCUGGAGGAAUACCGAUGGCGAAGGCAGCCAUCUGGCCUAAUACUGACGCUGAGGUACGAAAGCAUGGGGAGCAAACAGGAUUAGAUACCCCAGUAGUCCCUGUCUCUUAUAC